rnacentral:lncRNA from 11 species
CUGAAUUCUGCAACUUGUAUAAAUUAUGCAAACUCAACAAUUGUGCCUAAUCUUCCUCUCACCUCACAAAACAUUUACAGAAAUACCAUAUGUACUUUGAGUAUAAGUCGACCCGAAUAUAAGCUUGAAAAACUCGUCUUAUACUCGGGUAUAUACGGUAAUAAUUGACACCGAUAACAUGAUUUACAAGUGUAAUAUUUUCCAUGGAUUUUGUAAUAUAUCCAUUGAAGUAUGCUUUUAAGAAUGUGUUCUUUAACACGUUUGUUUUCCUAUUUUGUACGAUUUUGGAAAGUUUGUCGAAGUCCAGCCCAACGAUGGAUUUGGCGUCCUCCUUCCCCUUGAAAGCUUGAGCCUGGACGUCAUCUUCAAACCCAAGAAGGCAAAAGAAUACUCUUUCCAUCUGACUUGCAAAACUGAGAUCAACAGACAAUUCAAGCUGUCUUGCAAAGCGAUUGGAGUCCACCCUCCUCUGGAGCUUUCUCAUUCUUUCGUCCAGUUCCCCGCCACCGCUCUGAACGACGUGUCAUCCGCAACGCUUUUCAUUAUCAAUUCCCACGUGCGGCUCAGCCGGUUCAACCACAACGGUCCCAGAAUCGGGGCGGGAGAAAUGGCUCCGGUGGGGCCGACCUCCUUCCAGUUCCUUGUGCCCGAAGACUCCCACAUCACCAUCAUGCCUUGUGUCGGCACCGUUCUGCCCGGGAAGGUAUUUAAAAGCAGCAAACAAGGCCUCAGAAAUAGUCAGGCCCCUCUGAGUACACAGCGUACCUUUCUGACCAGCAUCCAGGGUUGAAAAUGGCUCUUCCUCGUUCUCUAAAUUGGACUUCCUUUUCCAGGUUUUUUGUUGGAAAGACAUAGAUUGGAUGACUAUGUCUUUUGUGGCCAAAUUUGGUGCGAUUUGGUCCAGUGGUUUUGUUGUUUACUCAGUCCUAC